UUUCAAUAUUUGCUAUUCCAGUAAAUUGAAUUAUUACAUGUCACACAUACAGUUCAUACAUCAAUUUGAUUUGGAGGAAACAAAAACAUUGCAACAAUUUUUUUCUUCUAAAUUCACAACUUUAUAUCUAUAUCUUACAAAUUAUUUUAAUUUUCGUAAUGCCUUGAAUUUCACAGAUAAUUUUACACUAAACCUAAUUUCAUUUUACAAUAAUUAAACGAUGGGAAUAAAUAAUUAUAUACAAAUGAUCAGUCUUUCAAAAUAUUUAUAUGGAUUAGUAUAUAUAACAAAUUAUUUUUUAAAAGAUACUCCAUAAUAAUUUUUGUUCCUGAUUUUUACAAAGUAAUGUGCUGAAUGUAUAUAAUUAUCUAUUUCCUCACAAAUUUUCAUCAAAAAAUAAAUAUACUUUAAUUUUUCGCCAGACAAUAUCAAAUUUUCUCCAAACUUUGAACAAAACAUUAUUCCAUACACACGCCACUCAUACUUGAAAUAAACCACUGCGAUGUUCUACAGUUCACAAAAAAUUAUAUAGGAACUUAAACAAUAACUAAAAAAGCAAAUAUAAGUUAAAGUCAAAUGGCAGUCAAUUUUAAAUAAAAAUGGCAAUAAAAUAGUAAAAGAUUGUAAAUUAUAACCCUUAAAUCUAAAGUUUUUACCAAAGGAUCGUAUAAAAUUUUCUUUCAACAAUUCAACUUCAUUUCCAUGAUAUCAAAUGGGGUAAUUCCAAAUUUUCUUGACAUUCAACACCAAAAGGCAUUCAAUCUUUUUGGAAGCCAUGGGAUAAAGCCAAAUAUAGACAAAUUUUUAAAUACUGUGAUUUUUGAUAAAAAUAUGUCUCUUAGUCUAGUAUAAAUUCUAAAAUUUGGAAGUAUUUAAACAAUUAUUACGUUCUUUGAAUAAAAUAAUGGUAUACCAGAUAGCAAAUGGACAAAAUAAUCACAAAAUCGUUUCUUAUUUGAAAAAAAAAAGAAAUUUCGUUGUAUAUUAUUGUAUAAGUACUAAGCACUUAUAAUUCAAAUUCUUUCUUCUAGUGUUGAAUAAGUAGAUAAAUAAUGAGAAGAAAUUUUAUUUUGGAAAUAUUUAAAUAAUUCUCUAUACCUGUUUUGAUUAAUUCUUGUAUAAUCAAAGUGAUAAUUUGAAAAGUUCCAUUUUAAUACAUGGAAUUGGAAAAUGCAAAUAUUUUUUAAACGAUCACAAGGUAUAUACAAAAAAUUUCAAAAAUCUACAGUUAGCAGUCCAACAUUUUGCUGUGUUUUUGAAAUUUUUACACAAGUUAGUAAAAAUAUAUUAUAUAAAAGUAUUAUAAAAUAUUUUUUAAACAUCAAAUAAAUUUUUUUUAUCAUAACGUAUACAAUAAUGUAUGAUAAACAAUAAGUUACUUUUAAAUAAUAUUAACACUGUAGAUACAUUCACAAGUAAUAGCUUCAGCGAAAAAUUGACUCUCAACGUUUCGAACAUAAUAACAUCACUACUCAGUUCUCAAAUUAGGACAAUGCAAUUUUGAAGCGUAUCGAGUCAAUAAAGAGAUUUGUAUCAAACUGACAGAACGAAUAUUUCGUUUUCAUCAUAAAAACAAUUAAUAAUACAUUUACUUCAGUUUAUUCUCCUCACCUACUAACCUAAACACUAUCUCCAACCACGGUAAUUAAUUUUCAAUAAUAAUUUUUAUUUGGUACUUUAAAGAGUGAUAAGAAGUUCUUGGAAACAUUUUAUACGACUGGGGAGAAAAGUAGUUUCCUAAAAAACAGUUUCCCGCUAAUAUCUUCUAAUGUAUAACAUUUAGAGAGUUUCUACUAGGAUAAAAAAUGAGAAUGAGGAACCCCGGUAUUAUAUUUUUGUAGAUAGUUGAUUAAUCUUCAUUUUUUCAUCUUGACAUAAUUCUCUAUACGUUAUAUGUCAGCAGAUAUUUUCAGAAAAUACAUUCUUAGAAAUUCUUCUCAUACAUUGAUUUUUUUUCUAUCACCACACUGUGAGGUCGUUCACCAAGAAUAUUAAGUUACAGAGAAUUCAAAAAUGAUCAAUGAUCUAAUUAUUAAUUAGUACAACCGAAAUGUCGGGAAUUUUGGUUAAAUUUGAAUUAUGUAUUCUACUUUUGUUUGUUGUAAUUCGUAAUACUAAUAAUCCAAUAGGUAGGUUUUUAAAUUCAGUUUUGUGAAAUAUUCACACUGUCAUUUUCGAACAAGUACUAUGUAAAUUUCGGCAAAAAUACGUACUGUUAUUUCGUAAUAAUAGCACAAGCAUUUAACAUAACUAUUGUAACUGAACAUUUAAAAAUAAAUAGAUACAUUCAAAAACUGCUUAUAUGUUAAUAUAGAAGUUCACACAAACGAAACAGUAUUUCAUAAAAAAUUGAAAAUGUUAUCAUCAUCACCAUUCUACAGUAUAUAAUCAUCACAUUAUUCAUUUCCUCGCCUGUGACGUGUAUCCGCUAAAAUAUUAUAACGAACUGAAUCAGGUUCUUUAUCUGUCAUAUCAUUUUAUUUAUCUCACAAAAAUUACGCAGAAUAAAUGAAACGUUACAUCUAAUAUUACUUUCCUUACUAACUGUGUUAAUAUUGAAAAGUUGGGGAUAGAAAAAUUGAGAGAUUUCAUGAGUCUACCUCAGUUCCGGUACCUAUCGAAAUAGACCGAAAUUAUCCGAGAGCUAUCGCGGUUACAAGUGCAUUGCCUCCCAACCAGUAUUGCCAGAUGACACAUAAUUUGGAAAUUUUAACAUAAUUUUUCAAUUUAUUCAAAUAAAAUUACAAACUAUAUUUUUUGGAUUUUGCACCCUCUAAUCUUAUUAUAUGAAAAAUAUGGGCUUGAUAUAGAACUGGUAGACAUUCAUUGGUGAUUCGAACGAAUAUACUUCUUCUGGGUACUUCUCAAUAAAAUACAAUUAUUUGAUAGAGACAGUAUGGCCACAUGAGAGUGGUCACCAUGUUGAACCCAAAUUCGGUUGAUUAGCAUUUGUUCGUCUCAUAAUAACGCUUAUAAAAACGUAAUUUGUAUUCUCAAUUAUUUAAUGAAAAACUUUUCACGGACUUAAUAUUUUUAACUAAGAAAAUACGAAAAUAAUUUAUUUUGUGUUGUAGUUUGGAUAAAACAUGGUGGCGACACUGUCUCUAUCAAGUCACUGUACAAUAAAAUAGUUUGUAGAGACCUUCGGUAUUUAGUAUGUUCUGGUAUGAUUAACGAAAGUAGAAGCAUAACAGUAAGCUUUGGUAGUGAAUCCCAAGAAUUACUUUUAUAAAACAGUGUAUUUCGCAUUAAAACAUUUUGUUGCAUAUUUAACUUAUAAAAACAAUGUUUCUCGAAAUAUUUCAACAUAUUUUAAAAUAAAAUCUGAUCGCUUUGGCAACACUGUGACGUAUUAUCAUUGAAGGUACCUGUCAACGUAUUCCUGUCUAUAUGAUUGUAAACAAUUGUAUCUGAAUUAUGUGGGUAUUUUAGUUGAUCUUGAUAUCCAAAUUUAAUAACGACAUUUUAAUUAGUUUAUAAAAGAUAAACUUGAAGGAUUUUGAGUCAUAAGUUUAUAAAUGAAAAUUUUGAAAUAAAAAGUUAUAAUACGAUAAAUUGAUACUCAAAUUCCAUAUGUAAGCUUUUAUUCACCUGAAUUUUUAUGGUACGUCUUGGGCAUAAUGUGAUCUAAUUGUAGAAGAAAGAAAGUCAUGAAAUGAUAUUUAAACAUAUUGCCGAUCAUAUAAAAACGAAUAGAAAAGUUUCAUACAUUUCAGAAUAAUAUUAAUUAUUUUUCGGAUUCAAAAAUAAUGGUAGGUUAAUACCGAAACAUUUCUUAUAUUCAUUUCCAAUUAUAUAUUAAUUGAUAACACAAAAAAUUUAACACCUUGAUGGAUGGUAAGGUCAAUAAAGAGUGUAGGAUUGUAAACUCUUUUUCAGUAUCUUGUAUCCUCUAAUAGUGAAGUGACAAUGAAAACCAUGGUUGAGUUUUACCAUAAAUAUUAGUUUUUCUUUCUCGCUAAAGACACUUUAUCUAUACUGCGCAUGCUUCAUGCGCGCACUUAGUCGGAACACCUUCCACUUAUAGAAACUGUCCACGUAGAAGUGUUACAUAUAUGGUUAUGUAUAUUACAUGAUCUCUGAGAAUGAAACAACUAUGAUAGUUGGAACAAAUGGAAUGUUCAGAGAAAGAAUUAUGUAAUAAGCAUGGUCCAGUAAUCCAGUCAAGUGCUUCAGUAGAUUAUAUCUUCUACAUCAUUUCAGUCAUUCAAAAGCUGUAAAAUCGGUAGCGACAAUGGUUUGGAGAAUGAAGCUCAGGUAUUAUUUUAAACGUAAUUGAUCUAGCCAAAGAAGAACUAAAAAGGAUUUUGGUGAGAAAUUGAAUAAAAUACAGGAACCAAGAAGGAGGCUCAACAAUUCUUUUGCAACAGCUAAAAUCAGAAUUUUGUUCACUGUUCAUUGUAUACUCAAACACGGGAUGUACCAUUCCAGACUGUAAUAAUGAGAAUAGGACUUAAACAAUAAAACAAUGCUUUGAAGAACUUAAAAUUGUUAUUUUUCUGUAUUUGUGUAUCUAUUCUUUUAUUGUAGGUAUUUCAGAUGUUAAAUCUAGUAAGAACUUUUUGUGAAAAAGGUAGACUGCAACAACUAGAGAUUGUUAUUUACGUUGCGAAGUUAAUUCGCAUCAGAACUUUGAUUAAGUUAGUCGAGAAGUAAUUGGUUAUUUUCAUAUAACAGGCAAUAGAUAAAUCAAUAUAAGUAUGUUUAAAGAAUUUUAGAAGUGAUGGAGAAACAUUUUCAAUUCAAAGUACCUUUAAGAUCGUUUAUUUGUAUUCCGUUGACAUUUCGUCUAGCUCUUAAAAAACUAAUAUAAAAAACAUGUAUAUCUGUUAACUAUUGAACUACUUUGUUUAACAAUAAACACUUAACUAUGUCGUCCUAGUGCAGUUAUGGCAAAAAACGCUGACGAAUUAUCAACUAUAAAAUGACUUUAUUAUUAUUAAAAAUUCAGUAUUAUCUAUAUAGGCCUUUUAUAAAGACAUAAUUAAAUUUAAAAUAAAUAAUUUAAUUCAUACAAGAAACAAUCACGUGGACAGAAUGUCAGAUGACCGGUUGGCAAAUAUUGCAAAGGAAGAAAAACCGAAUGAAUCCCGAUCCCCUACAAUAUGGUAUGAAAGCUGAUCUUCAUCAUCCCAGCUACAACUAGGCGAUCAUUGAUGUAAACACAGGACUAAGUCCUAACGUACGAUGAAGAAGAAGAAGAAACAAUUAAUUUAAUAUAAAUAGCUGGAGGUAAAGAAGAAUAACUAAUACUAACAGAAGAAACUCUUGAGGAGAAUAUAUAAGUAAUGAUAGAGAAAAUAAACAGAUCUACAAUAACUAUAGUUUGACGAUAGGAUUACAAAAAAAAUGUAAGAAAUAUUACUCUAGAAUGAAUGAUAUAACGAUAGAAAGUGAGCAAAGUAAAAGUGAGGUUAUUUGUUUUAUAAACAUCAUUAUCAUAUGCUGAAGGUAUCAUUGACAUGUUCCGUUUGCAAUGGAUUGAAUUGAUUCAUAUUAGACACUGAUGGCAAUGAAGAUGUCCUGGAAGUAUUUUGUCCUUGUUCAUCUUUUUGUACGUUUUUUUCCAAUUUGGCUUGCAAAUAUAUUGGUUAUUGCUCCAUACAAUUUGAAGAUUUUAAUAAGUUUCAUUGUUAAGAUAUUUAUUUUUUCAAGUUGCAUUCUUUUUAGAUCUUGUUCUGUAAUAUUAGGUUGUGGGAAAAUAAUACCGGCUCUUCCUAAUAGAUAUUUCCCUUUUUUAAUUUCUGAAGAGAGAAAACUGCAACUCAGACAUUUAAUAUUGUGUUUAAGUGAAAACCAGAAUUUUAAGACAAAAAACCCCUUGAAUUAAUAGUAAAAAUAAUAAUGGUCAGAGUUUCCUACAGGAAAAUAGACAAUAAUUAACUCAUUUUUUACCCAAAUGCUUACAAGCGCUGAAAAUUGGACGAUAUAUGAUGAUAAUAUGUGAAAGAAAUCAUAAUCGAGCCCCAGAAAAAUUUCAGAAACAUUUGCGAGGUGGAAUUUGAAGGUUAUUGUUUUGAUUGAAGCAAGCUAUACAAAAAAAAACGAGCCAAUCUGAUCAAUAGUCGUCCAUCCAGUCUCUUCAAAUCUCGAUGGUGUAAAUCUGGCAUCAACAUUGGUUUGUGAUAAUCACUUGUUUUAGUUUUACGUACAGAAACUUCAGUUCUAGAAAGACAGAACUAUGGUUUUGUCACGAAAGUGGUAGGAGUUGAUUGUUUAAAAUUUAUAUUAAAGAAUUCCCAAACACAUUAAAACCAAAAGUAUUCCUCACUAAACACAAUAUUAUAAAAUGUUGAUAUCAGGCUAUAAAGAUAGCAAAAUUACUCUUCUUGGAAUGAAUAUAAAGCAUAAAACCUUUGUUAAUAAUUUUUUUUAAAUAAAAAAAUUUAUCUGUUAUCAAAAAUGUACUGCAAAAUAUUUAAAGGAUGAAACAGGCCAUUUUUUAUGUUUUUCCUGGAAGGUUUGAUCUUAAAAAUACUUUUUAAACUUGAUGAACUUAAUAUAUAACAUGACGUAUACAAAACGUAACAUAACUUAACAAUUUUAACUAACAUUCAUUGUAAACUACAAUAUUUAUUAUAUGUGGUUUUAUUGAACAAUCUCGAAUUUUUGUAAUUUUUUUCAUCAUAUUGUAAUGCCGAAAUAUUUGUGUCUCCCAAAAGUGACUUUAGACUGUAUAUUAAAAAGUGUAUUUUGUGUAAUUUAGAAACUCAAAAAUUUAUAUAAACACCCGCCUAAAGUUUUCAUAUAAUUUUUAAAAGUAAAUAAAAAAAACUGAAAAAUCUAAUGGCCGUUGAAUGAAUCUUUUUUAAACGGAAAGGUGUAAGACUUUUGAUUGAUUGAAAUUUCCGAGUAAAUUUGUGUGUAAGUGUAGUUGUAACAUUUGUAAAUCUGAAUAUAUUAUUGUAAAAACAAUUAAAAGGUAACCACGUUCUUUAAAACAUUCUUCUUGUUCGAGGGAACUAACAGAAUCUUUUUAAGUACAAGGCUACUAAAAAACUUGAACUGAAGUAUGGUAUAUCUGAAUUUUUGUAUAGCAUAAGAAGUAUUUCAUUAUGCGUUUAGACUAUUGCGUUUUAACUAAAAUUUUAACAAAAUCUAUUUUAUCGCAUACGCUACCAACAGAUUUUAUUAUUUAUCUUUUUAUUCUACAAGCGGAAUUCUAAAACUAAAUCUUAUCACUACUUACUAAUUAAUUGGAUUCCUACUAUUGAAAGGAGUUGACUAUGAUGAAAUUGUUUUCGAAAAAGUAUAUUGAGCCAUGCACAUUUUUUGAGACUAUAAACUCAAAGAGUGCACUAAUUUUUAGCAUAUAUCUGUGUUAGGGAAGGAUAGGGUAGCGCUACAACAUUUUUUUGGGCCUCUUGGUUAAACGUAGGUGACAAAAUAGAUUUUAAAAACUGUGACUAAACAUUUAAACUUAAUAUGGUUAGAAAUUGAAAAACUGUUGUGCGGAAACCGCACUUGUAUUAUGGGCUAUUGCAAAUAAAAUAUUUUUUUUUGGUAAUUUUACAAUAAAUAUUUGUCCAUUCGGGCAUUUAGACUUUAAUAUUUAUGUAAAAUACACUAGAAGAUAGACAAAAUGGAGGUUUUGUCUACCGAGGGUGACUAAAAUGUUGAAUUCAAUAAUUGUUUUUGAAAAACAAAAACGCACCUGAAUCCGAAUAAUGCGAAAAAAUUUUCAAAAUCAAUUUUUGAUUGGGCUAUUGCAAAAUUUUUAUUAUGAUAAUUACCUAAGUAAUUAUAGUGGGCAAAAUAUUUUGAAGCACUUUGUGCAACCGGGCUAUUUCAUUAUUUUUACUGUAUUUUAACGUGUCAAGUCAAAGAAAAUCGUUUUUGUGGCUAAUGCCACUCGUCAUUAUCGGUAUAUUUAUAUAUUGCAUAAAAGAGGUGACAAUUUCGUUCAAAUAGAUUUGAUUUCUAUUUGAAAAAAUUGCCUAAAAAUUACACCCUGCUAUGGGACUUCCAGUUCGGACAAACAUCCUUAGAUUUUUGCCUGUAAACUUCAAUUCUAUCAAAUAUAUUUUGAAUGGUUGUCCUUAAUUUAGUUGUUUUUGAUGUCGAAAUUUUGAAUCAUUUACAAAAAUCAAAAAUUUUAUGGGGGUGUUGGAAAAUUAACUUUUAUGCAUGGUAUUUUACACAGUUCGUGUAGUGUGUGUAAAAUGUCUUGAUUUUGUCACUUUUUGGGGAAGAUAUAGCAGCAGAUAAUGCUGUUUACUAUUGUAAUAUUUUAGCAACUAUUGACUAUAUGUGGCUAUUGAUAGAUGUGGAAAAACAGGACAAAUUUGAAAAUAAUUUGUAUUGCAACUAUUUACAUAUAAUUUUCACAAUACCUCGCACACAACUUUUAUCAAACGUCUUGUGAAAUUUCAUUAACAUGGUUUUAUACUUUAGUAAAUGGUUAUGUUCCACGAUCCUUGAACCUCCAAAUGAAAUUAUCUACCAAAGUAAGUAGUAACGAAAAUGAUGUUUAGAAUAAAUAUGAAAAAAAAAACUAUUUAUACCUCCUGGGGAUGUGCAAAAUUCGUCUCUUCUUUUUAAUUUAAAUUUCUAUUAACUAAUAUAUCUUCUGUUUUGAUAUCCGUAAUCUCUUUGGAACAAAUUGCUUUUCAAAUAUGGACAUUCCCAAACGAUAAUAUGUUUGCAAUGUUAAAAAAAUACAAAAAAGGGUUAAGUGAAUUGGAAAUUUUAAAUAUUUAUAAUAUUAUUACAAUCCUGAAUUGAAGAGAAGAACGAACUUCGGAACAGAUGUUUCACUGGAUUAUAGUUAAGGAAGAGACAAAUCAUAAAUAACAUUGGCAGAUGAUUUAAACGGAUGAACGUCGUAAAUGAUAGGGAAGAAGUGUUAAUUGUUGAGACAAACAAAUUAUAAGUUUGUAUUCUGUGUUCUUUAUUGUUUUUGACAUAUGUCAAAUGUUACUUCCUGUAAUGAAUAAGAUGUAAGGUUAAGGUUUGAAUAAGAACAUGUGAUUAUUGACUUGUAUAAAAAUUAACUUCAGUUUAUCAAAAAGCAUUUUAUUUAAUAAAAUAUAAAAUAAACUUCUAUGGUUCACUGCUCAACCUGACAUUGAUAAUGAGGAAGAUAUGAAAGAAGAUUUUGAAUAGUUAAUUUAUCUAAAAUAGUCCUUGUUUCAGCGUGAAAGAAAAUUGGGGAUCUAUUCCAAAUUUUGUUCAUAAGCUGAAGAAAAUAUAUUUAACAAGAUUUAUUUUAUUGAUUGCGAUGGAAGCAAUAAAUAAAACAUUUCUAAGGAUGAAGGUCGUCUUCAGCUACUUUUAUCUUUGAAUUGGGCUAAAUUUGAUUUCCGGUCUAAGCUACAGAUAAUUUUAAUCAUUAUCCAUCUUAAAUUUUUGAACUACAUUUUAAAAAAUGAAUUAGAUGAUGAAGAAGUAGGAAGAAAGUCUGAAUUAAACCUUGAAUUUACAAACUACAUUUAGAAAUGAAAAAAAUUGAUUAGAGAACGAGAAGAAAGAGGGAAAUAGUUCAAUUUUAACCUUUUAUUUAUAAACUAUGACUUUCAAAGUUCAACAUCAAACUUAUAAACUAGCUUUUGAAAAAUGAAUUAGAAAAUGAAGAAAUUGGAUGAAAGUCUAAAUUUACCAUUGAAUUUUCAAAUUACAUUUCGAAAUAUGAAUAAUGAAUUAAAGAAUGAUAAAGAAAUUGUGGUAUAUGCGAAUUUUAACCUUGAAUUUAUCAAUUAGACAAUAAAGAAAUAGGAGGAAACUCCAAAUUUAACUCUGGAUUUCAACCUUCAUUUUGAAGAAUGACAAAUAAAUUAGUAAAUAGAAUCAUGGAUUAUAUUAAAGAAUGAAGGAAUAGGAGGAGAACGAAGUAGAAAUGGUCCAAGUUUAAUCUUGAAUUAAUAAACUACUAUUUGAAACAUAAAUUAGGGAAUGAAAAAAUAGAAGAAGAGUCUAUGAAUUUUAAAACUUUAUUUUGAAGAAUGAAUAAACAAAAAGAUUCCUA